rnacentral:rRNA from 1 species
GGGUUGUGAGGUUAAGCGACUAAGCGUACACGGUGGAUGCCCUGGCAGUCAGAGGCGAUGAAGGACGUGCUAAUCUGCGAUAAGCGUCGGUAAGGUGAUAUGAACCGUUAUAACCGGCGAUUUCCGAAUGGGGAAACCCAGUGUGAUUCGUCACACUAUCAUUAACUGAAUCCAUAGGUUAAUGAGGCGAACCGGGGGAACUGAAACAUCUAAGUACCCCGAGGAAAAGAAAUCAACCGAGAUUCCCCCAGUAGCGGCGAGCGAACGGGGAGCAGCCCAGAGCCUGAAUCAGUGUGUGUGUUAGUGGAAGCGUCUGGAAAGGCGCGCGAUACAGGGUGACAGCCCCGUACACAAAAAUGCACAUAUUGUGAGCUCGAUGAGUAGGGCGGGACACGUGGUAUCCUGUCUGAAUAUGGGGGGCCCAUCCUCCAAGGCUAAAUACUCCUGACUGACCGAUAGUGAACCAGUACCGUGAGGGAAAGGCGAAAAGAACCCCGGCGAGGGGAGUGAAAAAGAACCUGAAACCGUGUACGUACAAGCAGUGGGAGCACGCUUAGGCGUGUGACUGCGUACCUUUUGUAUAAUGGGUCAGCGACUUAUAUUCUGUAGCAAGGUUAACCGAAUAGGGGAGCCGAAGGGAAACCGAGUCUUAACUGGGCGUUAAGUUGCAGGGUAUAGACCCGAAACCCGGUGAUCUAGCCAUGGGCAGGUUGAAGGUUGGGUAACACUAACUGGAGGACCGAACCGACUAAUGUUGAAAAAUUAGCGGAUGACUUGUGGCUGGGGGUGAAAGGCCAAUCAAACCGGGAGAUAGCUGGUUCUCCCCGAAAGCUAUUUAGGUAGCGCCUCGUGAAUUCAUCUCCGGGGGUAGAGCACUGUUUCGGCAAGGGGGUCAUCCCGACUUACCAACCCGAUGCAAACUGCGAAUACCGGAGAAUGUUAUCACGGGAGACACACGGCGGGUGCUAACGUCCGUCGUGAAGAGGGAAACAACCCAGACCGCCAGCUAAGGUCCCAAAGUCAUGGUUAAGUGGGAAACGAUGUGGGAAGGCCCAGACAGCCAGGAUGUUGGCUUAGAAGCAGCCAUCAUUUAAAGAAAGCGUAAUAGCUCACUGGUCGAGUCGGCCUGCGCGGAAGAUGUAACGGGGCUAAACCAUGCACCGAAGCUGCGGCAGCGACGCUUAUGCGUUGUUGGGUAGGGGAGCGUUCUGUAAGCCUGCGAAGGUGUGCUGUGAGGCAUGCUGGAGGUAUCAGAAGUGCGAAUGCUGACAUAAGUAACGAUAAAGCGGGUGAAAAGCCCGCUCGCCGGAAGACCAAGGGUUCCUGUCCAACGUUAAUCGGGGCAGGGUGAGUCGACCCCUAAGGCGAGGCCGAAAGGCGUAGUCGAUGGGAAACAGGUUAAUAUUCCUGUACUUGGUGUUACUGCGAAGGGGGGACGGAGAAGGCUAUGUUGGCCGGGCGACGGUUGUCCCGGUUUAAGCGUGUAGGCUGGUUUUCCAGGCAAAUCCGGAAAAUCAAGGCUGAGGCGUGAUGACGAGGCACUACGGUGCUGAAGCAACAAAUGCCCUGCUUCCAGGAAAAGCCUCUAAGCAUCAGGUAACAUCAAAUCGUACCCCAAACCGACACAGGUGGUCAGGUAGAGAAUACCAAGGCGCUUGAGAGAACUCGGGUGAAGGAACUAGGCAAAAUGGUGCCGUAACUUCGGGAGAAGGCACGCUGAUAUGUAGGUGAAGUCCCUUGCGGAUGGAGCUGAAAUCAGUCGAAGAUACCAGCUGGCUGCAACUGUUUAUUAAAAACACAGCACUGUGCAAACACGAAAGUGGACGUAUACGGUGUGACGCCUGCCCGGUGCCGGAAGGUUAAUUGAUGGGGUCAGCGCAAGCGAAGCUCUUGAUCGAAGCCCCGGUAAACGGCGGCCGUAACUAUAACGGUCCUAAGGUAGCGAAAUUCCUUGUCGGGUAAGUUCCGACCUGCACGAAUGGCGUAAUGAUGGCCAGGCUGUCUCCACCCGAGACUCAGUGAAAUUGAACUCGCUGUGAAGAUGCAGUGUACCCGCGGCAAGACGGAAAGACCCCGUGAACCUUUACUAUAGCUUGACACUGAACAUUGAGCCUUGAUGUGUAGGAUAGGUGGGAGGCUUUGAAGUGUGGACGCCAGUCUGCAUGGAGCCGGCCUUGAAAUACCACCCUUUAAUGUUUGAUGUUCUAACGUGGACCCGUGAUCCGGGUUGCGGACAGUGUCUGGUGGGUAGUUUGACUGGGGCGGUCUCCUCCUAAAGAGUAACGGAGGAGCACGAAGGUUGGCUAAUCCCUGGUCGGACAUCAGGAGGUUAGUGCAAUGGCAUAAGCCAGCUUGACUGCGAGCGUGACGGCGCGAGCAGGUGCGAAAGCAGGUCAUAGUGAUCCGGUGGUUCUGAAUGGAAGGGCCAUCGCUCAACGGAUAAAAGGUACUCCGGGGAUAACAGGCUGAUACCGCCCAAGAGUUCAUAUCGACGGCGGUGUUUGGCACCUCGAUGUCGGCUCAUCACAUCCUGGGGCUGAAGUAGGUCCCAAGGGUAUGGCUGUUCGCCAUUUAAAGUGGUACGCGAGCUGGGUUUAGAACGUCGUGAGACAGUUCGGUCCCUAUCUGCCGUGGGCGCUGGAGAACUGAGGGGGGCUGCUCCUAGUACGAGAGGACCGGAGUGGACGCAUCACUGGUGUUCGGGUUGUCAUGCCAAUGGCACUGCCCGGUAGCUAAAUGCGGAAGAGAUAAGUGCUGAAAGCAUCUAAGCACGAAACUUGCCCCGAGAUGAGUUCUCCCUGACCCUUUAAGGGUCCUGAAGGAACGUUGAAGACGACGACGUUGAUAGGCCGGGUGUGUAAGCGCAGCGAUGCGUUGAGCUAACCGGUACUAAUGAACCGUGAGGCUUAACCUUACAACGCCGAAG